rnacentral:rRNA from 1 species
UACAGAGGGUGCAAGCGUUAAUCGGAGUUACUGGGCGUAAAGGGCGCGUAGGCGGUUUAUUAAGAUGGAUGUGAAAUCCCUGGGCUUAACCUAGGAACUGCAUCCAUGACUGAUAGACUGGAGUACUGUAGAGGGUAGUGGAAUUUCCGGUGUAGCGGUGAAAUGCGUAGAGAUCGGAAGGAACACCAGUGGCGAAGGCGGCUACCUGGACAGAUACUGACGCUGAGGCGCGAGAGCGUGGGGAGCAAACAGG